rnacentral:rRNA from 1 species
AGUGAACGCUGGCGGUAGGCCUAACACAUGCAAGUCGAACGGCAGCACAGUAGCGUGUUCCUCUUAGGGAGGGGCGGAGGGGUGCGGAGUAGAACUAAACCGGAACUUCCUUUUUGGGGGGGCUGACGGAAGGAAAAUUAACACCACAACCGAUUUCCACCUACGGGGGAAGGAAGGGCUGCUCUGGCCCUGUCGGGUUUGACGAUGUCGGAUUAGCUAGUUGGGGGGGUAAAGGCCCACCAAGGCGACGAUCAGUAGCUGGUCUGAGAGGAUGAGCAGCCACACUGGAACUGAGACACGGUCCAGACUCCUACGGGAGGCAGCAGUGGGGAAUAUUGGACAAUGGGCGCAAGCCUGAUCCGGCCAUACCGCAUGGGUGAAGAAGGCCUUCGGGUUGUAAAGCCCUUUUGUUGGGAAAGAAAAGCAGCAGGUUAAUACCCCGCUGUUCUGACGGUACCCAAAGAAUAAGCACCGGCUAACUUCGUG